UACGGAAGGCAGCAGUGGGGAAUAUUGCACAAUGGGCGAAAGCCUGAUGCAGCUAUGCCGCGUGUAUGAAGAAGGCCUUAGGGUUGUAAAGUACUUUCAUCGGGGAGGAAAAAACAAAACUAAUAAUUUUAUUUCUUGACGUUACCCGAAAAAGAAGCACCGGCUAACUCCGUGCCAGCAGCCGCGGUAAUACGGAGGGUGCUAGCGUUAAUCAGAAUUACUGGGCGUAAAGAGCACGUAGGUGGUUUUUUUAAGUCAGAUGUGAAAUCCCUGGGCUUAACCUAGGAACUGCAUUUUGAAACUGAAAUACUAGAGUAUCGUAGAGGGAGGUAGAAUUCUAGGUGUAGCGGUGAAAUGCGUAGAUAUCUGGAGGAAUACCUGUGGCGAAAGCGGCCUCCUAAACGAAUACUGACACUGAGGGUGCGAAAGCGUGGGGAGCAAACAGGGAUUAGAUACCCGU
rnacentral:rRNA from 1 species